GGUUGUGCCCUUGAGGCGUGGCUUCCGGAGCUAACGCGUUAAGUCGACCGCCUGGGGAGUACGGCCGCAAGGUUAAAACUCAAAUGAAUUGACGGGGGCCCGCACAAGCGGUGGAGCAUGUGGUUUAAUUCGAUGCAACGCGAAGAACCUUACCUGGCCUUGACAUCCACGGAAUUCGGCAGAGAUGCCUUAGUGCCUUCGGGAACCGUGAGACAGGUGCUGCAUGGCUGUCGUCAGCUCGUGUUGUGAAAUGUUGGGUUAAGUCCCGCAACGAGCGCAACCCUUAUCCUUUGUUGCCAGCGAGUAAUGUCGGGAACUCAAAGGAGACUGCCGGUGACAAACCGGAGGAAGGUGGGGAUGACGUCAAGUCAUCAUGGCCCUUACGGCCAGGGCUACACACGUGCUACAAUGGCGCAUACAAAGAGAAGCGAACUCGCGAGAGCAAGCGGACCUCACAAAGUGCGUCGUAGUCCGGAUCGGAGUCUGCAACUCGACUCCGUGAAGUCGGAAUCGCUAGUAAUCGUAGAUCAGAAUGCUACGGUGAAUACGUUCCCGGGCCUUGCACUCACCGCCCGU
rnacentral:rRNA from 1 species